rnacentral:lncRNA from 1 species
AUGUGCCUUUCCACGCUUCAUGGCUGUCAGGAGCUUGUCUCUACUACACACUCCCGCCAUGAAAUUUCUGCUUUACCACAGAAGAAACACCAACGAAACCAAACAACCAUGGACUGAAACCUCUAAAAACAUAAGCCAAAAUAAUGUUUACUCAGAGAAGUGGAUUGGACAUUUUUUAAUCGCUGUGACAGGAAGUUGACUAACAGAUCAGGUCAACAGAAAUGCUGCUGAAGAAGUGUUCCCCCAUUUCCUCUCUUCCCAGCAUGCCUGCCACCCCCCCCCAUAAGUUAGGCGUGGAUGACAAGACAAUGUACCUGAAAGAUAGCAGGUCACCCUCUGCUCAACCAGAGGGCAGGAAGAGCAUCCAGUCAACGUCCUUGGGUUUACAGGAGUGGCCUGACUGAUGGGGCCAAGAAAAGUUUUUUUAAGUGGUGAAGAGAUGGUUUGGUGCCAGCAGUGGUCACAGACACAAUUUCUGUAGCACCCUGCCCUGUCAUGCCCCAGAGCACUGCUGAAGCUUGGCUCUCCCAGAAUUCCUCUGGGUCUGCAACUUCUUUAGCUUUGGAACCAGUCAUGCCCACAGAGGAACCUGCAGUGUCCAGUGACCUAUGUGAAGAAUAGAAAAGACAAACCAACAAAAGUUUCCCAGCUAGGAUCACAGAGUGAAACAGACAGGAAGUUGAAUGUCAAGACCCAGGACACAAUUUAAAACUAACCCCCAUGGACAGUUCAUGGUUGGAACUCAUGCUGCCUGGCUAUGGUAUAAUAAACUGGACUGCACUCUCUAAGCCUUGGAAAAGCUAAAAGAUACUGUGCAUACGGACACACCAGCGAGGAGGAAAUGCUGUGGGCAGGCUGGGCAAAGGCUGCUCCUGAAUGGAUGCCUUGCUUCUGUGUUGUGAGGGAAAUGUGAGUCCCUGAGAAAGGGCUUGAUAAGUAUUUGAACUAACCAGAAGAGAACAGGUCUCUUGGCUAAAAACAAACAAUAGCAGGGUUCGUCUUGCC